CUGAUGGUGUUGAUGCUUGAUAGUGAGGUAUUCUACCUGGAGGCAUACCAAGCAAGUGAAAACUGGAAUUUCACCACUCUGGAUUUAUGUUCAUGGGCUUGUCACACAUCUGGCUGGAGAUACUGAGAGUACAAGUUCUUAUAAUUUUAAUAGAGAAGAGUAGUAGGAGUACAAGUUUAAUAGAGAAGAGUAGUAGGAUAAAGAUGUUUCAAAAGAAUGAUAAAGCAGCAAAAGAAGAUGAAGUAUUAAGAAAGGGGAAACAUGCAGUAAAGGAGGUUUAUUG
rnacentral:misc_RNA from 1 species